rnacentral:rRNA from 1 species
AGACCCGAAACCCGGUGAUCUAGCCAUGGGCAGGUUGAAGGUUGGGUAACACUAACUGGAGGACCGAACCGACUAAUGUUGAAAAAUUAGCGGAUGACCUGUGGCUGGGGGUGAAAGGCCAAUCAAACCGGGAGAUAGCUGGUUCUCCCCGAAAGCUAUUUAGGUAGCGCCUCGUGAAUUCAUCUCCGGGGGUAGAGCACUGUUUCGGCUAGGGGGCCAUCCCGGCUUACCAACCCGAUGCAAACUGCGAAUACCGGAGAAUGUUAUCACGGGAGACACACGGCGGGUGCUAACGUCCGUCGUGAAGAGGGAAACAACCCAGACCGCCAGCUAAGGUCCCAAAGUCAUGGUUAAGUGGGAAACGAUGUGGGAAGGCCCAGACAGCCAGGAUGUUGGCUUAGAAGCAGCCAUCAUUUAAAGAAAGCGUAAUAGCUCACUGGUCGAGUCGGCCUGCGCGGAAGAUGUAACGGGGCUAAACCAUGCACCGAAGCUGCGGCAGCGACACUAUGUGUUGUUGGGUAGGGGAGCGUUCUGUAAGCCUGUGAAGGUGGCCUGUGAGGGUUGCUGGAGGUAUCAGAAGUGCGAAUGCUGACAUAAGUAACGAUAAAGCGGGUGAAAAGCCCGCUCGCCGGAAGACCAAGGGUUCCUGUCCAACGUUAAUCGGGGCAGGGUGAGUCGACCCCUAAGGCGAGGCCGAAAGGCGUAGUCGAUGGGAAACGGGUUAAUAUUCCCGUACUUGGUGUUACUGCGAAGGGGGGACGGAGAAGGCUAUGUUGGCCGGGCGACGGUUGUCCCGGUUUAAGCGUGUAGGCUGGUUUUCCAGGCAAAUCCGGAAAAUCAAGGC